CAACAAGUCACAGCCGGCCACA
rnacentral:miRNA from 1 species